UGGGGUGUGGCUCAGUGGUAGAGCGCUUGCCUAGCAUGUGUGAGGCCCUGGGUUUGAUUCUCAGCACUGCAU
rnacentral:tRNA from 1 species